GUGAACGCCCUCACGGGCUUGUACUAUUCCAAACCUCUGUGAACCGUGCCCUUCGGGGCUAUUUUACAAACAUGGUGUAAUGAACGUCAUAUAUCAUAACAAAACA
rnacentral:misc_RNA from 1 species